GAUGAACGCUGGCGGCGUGCCUAAUACAUGCAAGUCGAGCGAACGGACGAGAAGCUUGCUUCUCUGAUGUUAGCGGCGGACGGGUGAGUAACACGUGGAUAACCUACCUAUAAGACUGGGAUAACUUCGGGAAACCGGAGCUAAUACCGGAUAAUAUUUUGAACCGCAUGGUUCAAAAGUGAAAGACGGUCUUGCUGUCACUUAUAGAUGGAUCCGCGCUGCAUUAGCUAGUUGGUAAGGUAACGGCUUACCAAGGCAACUAUGCAUAGCCGACCUGGGAGGGCGAUCGGCCACACGGGAACUGAGACACGGUCCAGACUCCUACGGGAGGCAGCAGUAGGGAAUCUUCCGCAAUGGGCGAAAGCCUGACGGAGCAACGCCGCGUGAGUGAUGAAGGUCUUCGGAUCGUAAAACUCUGUUAUUAGGGAAGAACAUAUGUGUAAGUAACUGUGCACAUCUUGACGGUACCUAAUCAGAAAGCCACGGCUAACUACGUG
rnacentral:rRNA from 1 species